rnacentral:rRNA from 1 species
GUAGGGUGCAAGCGUUAAUCGGAAUUACUGGGCGUAAAGCGUGCGCAGGCGGUUUUGUAAGUCUGACGUGAAAUCCCCGGGCUCAACCUGGGAAUUGCGUUGGAGACUGCAAGGCUGGAGUCUGGCAGAGGGGGGUAGAAUUCCACGUGUAGCAGUGAAAUGCGUAGAGAUGUGGAGGAACACCGAUGGCGAAGGCAGCCCCCUGGGUCAAGACUGACGCUCAUGCACGAAAGCGUGGGGGGAGCAAACAGGAUUAGAUACCCUGGUAGUCCACGCCCUAAACGAUGUCUACUAGUUGUCGGGUCUUAAUUGACUUGGUAACGCAGCUAACGCGUGAAGUAGACCGCCCUGGGAGUACGGUCGCAAGAUUA